AAAAAUAUCAGUCCUUGCAUUUAUCAGAAAAAACACCCAUUUGUUGACCACCCUAUAAAUGCCCCGUUAGAUACUUCGUUUCUUCAAGAAUAUCAAAAGUGGCUUGAGAAGGAUCUAUUGAAAUCGCAUGACAAAAGGAAGCCAAAUGAAAAUCAUUACAGAAAGAACAAGGAAGGACUCGAUCUUGCGGAUGCCGAACUUCGGUUUCAUUUAGGCGUUACAGCCGUAGCCGUAGCCGACAAAAACUGGUUCUACUUGUUAUCUAUGGAUGGGCAACUUUGGACUGAUGAGGUUUUGAUAUCUUUCUGCUUGUUAUCUAAUUUUUUUAUGUUUUAUAAUAGAAUUACAAUGUGAUGUAUCUAGAGUAUAUUUUUUACAAUAUUUGACAUAUAUUGUAAAAAAUAUAUUUCAGGCAUAUUUACCAUAUAUUUUCUCUAUAUUUAACUGAAACUUUUAACUUUUAAAGCAGUACUAUAUAUGUGUAUAUGUGUAUCUGUUUUGCUGAUGCCUUUAAAUUCAUUUGAACCAUGUUUUUAUUGUUUUAGGUUGAGGGAGUAGGUUGAGGUACUUAUUGUCACAACUUGUAUUUAUAGAAUAUUGUCAUCAUUAUACUUGCACUAUAUUUAAUAUACAGACAUUAAUUUACUAGUUCAGCACAGUACUGUCCAGGUAUACAGAAUUGUAUUUUUACUAUAUAUAAGAGUAUAUUGCACUAUAUUUACUAUAUAUACA